CAUCAUCUAUCAAACAUCACAUGGUGACUAUAUUUUAUUAUUAAUUUUUUAAUCCUAAAGUAUUUUAUAGUCAAAAAUACAAAAUUAAAAAAAGAAAAUAAUGUCUGAUUCUAUUGUUUCAUAUGAAGUGACGAACCUAAACGGUGUCGUUUGGUGUUUAGUAAAAGGGUUGGGCUCAUUCCUUUUGGGCCAGGGUCUGGAAUUAAAUUUUAUUUGGUAAAACGGUGUCGUCUCCAUUAAUUUUUGAGCUAUGAGGGUGGGUUUAAAUUUUAUUUUGUUGUUGAUUGUGGCUUAAUAGAAAAAGAAAGUGAGGCCGAAUGAAAAAUGGAAAGGUUGUGUUAAUAUUCUUCGUUCGCUAGGUCCGCAGGUACGAGCCUCGAGGGUUGAGUAGGAGAUUGACUUGUCUAUGAUCCAAUCGGGCCAGACCAUCCUGCCUCUCUGUUAUCGAAAGGAGGAUCAUCCGUAUAUGUCAUUUUUGACUUUUCUUCCCUUUCCAUAAACUCGUAGUUAAUUUUAUAUUUUAUUUUUAAUUUAAUUUAUGAUCUUAUGUACUUUUAUAAAUUGAGGUUGUAAGAAGUUAUGUGGGUGAAUUUGUAAGAAGUUUAAAACAUAUUGUUG
rnacentral:lncRNA from 1 species